GUGAGGAAUAUUGGUCAAUGGGCGUAAGCCUGAACCAGCCAAGUCGCGUGAGGGAUGAAGGAUCUAUGGUUCGUAAACCUCUUUUAUCAGGGGAUAAAGUGCGGGACGUGUACUGUUUUGUAUGUACCUUAUGAAUAAGGAUCGGCUAACUCCGUGCCAGCAGCCGCGGUAAUACGGAGGAUCCGAGCGUUAUCCGGAUUUAUUGGGUUUAAAGGGUGCGUAGGCGGCCUUUUAAGUCAGCGGUGAAAGUCUGUGGCUCAACCAGAGAAUUGCCGUUGAAACUGGUGGGCUUGAGUAUGUUUGAGGCAGGCGGAAUGCGUUGUGUAGCGGUGAAAUGCAUAGAGAUCACGCAGAACCCCGAUUGCGAAGGCAGCCUGCCAAGCCAUGACUGACGCUGAUGCACGAAAGCGUGGGGAUCGAACAGG
rnacentral:rRNA from 1 species